rnacentral:rRNA from 1 species
GGUUGACCUCGGAUCAGGUAGGGAUACCCGCUGAACUUAAGCAUAUCAAUAAGCGGAGGAAAAGAAACCAACAGGGAUUGCCCCAGUAACGGCGAGUGAAGCGGCAAGAGCUCAAAUUUGAAAGC